GACGAACGCUGGCGGCGUGCUUAACACAUGCAAGUCGAACGGAAAGGCCCUGCUUUUGUGGGGUGCUCGAGUGGCGAACGGGUGAGUAACACGUGAGUAACCUGCCCUUGACUUUGGGAUAACUUCAGGAAACUGGGGCGAAUACCGGAUAUGAGCUCCUGCUGCAUGGUGUGGGUUGGAAAGUUUCGGCGGUUGGGGAUGGACUCGCGGCUUAUCAGCUUGUUGGUGGGGUAGUGGCUUACCAAGGCUUUGACGGGUAGCCGGCCUGAGAGGGUGACCGGCCACAUUGGGACUGAGAUACGGCCCAGACUCCUACGGGAGGCAGCAGUGGGGAAUAGUGCACAAUGGGCGGAAGCCUGAUGCAGCAACGCCGCGUGCGGGAUGACGGUCUUCGGGUUGUAAACCGCUUUCGCCUGUAACGAAGCGUGAGUGACGGUAAUGGGUAAAGAAGCACCGGCUAACUACGUG
rnacentral:rRNA from 1 species